UCUCCGUAGGUGAACCUGCGGAGGGAUCAUUACUGAGUGAGGGCUCACGCCCGACCUCCAACCCUUUGUGAACACAUCUUGUUGCUUCGGGGGCGACCCUGCCGGCACUCUGUCGCCGGGCGCCCCCGAAGGUCUCCAAACACUGCAUCUUUGCGUCGGAGUUAAAGUAAAUUAAACAAAACUUUCAACAACGGAUCUCUUGGUUCCAGCAUCGAUGAAGAACGCAGC
rnacentral:misc_RNA from 1 species